GGGAAUCUUAGACAAUGGGGGAAACCCUGAUCUAGCCAUGCCGCGUGAGUGACGAAGGCCUUAGGGUCGUAAAGCUCUUUCGCUGGGGAAGAUAAUGACGGUACCCAGUAAAGAAACCCCGGCUAACUCCGUGCCAGCAGCCGCGGUAAUACGGAGGGGGUUAGCGUUGUUCGGAAUUACUGGGCGUAAAGCGCACGUAGGCGGGCUGUUAAGUCGGGGGUGAAAUCCCGGGGCUCAACCCCGGAACUGCCUUCGAUACUGGCCGCCUUGAGUUCGAGAGAGGUGAGUGGAAUACCCAGUGUAGAGGUGAAAUUCGUAGAUAUUAGGAAGAACACCAGUGGCGAAGGCGGCUCACUGGUCCGGUACUGACGCUGAGGUGCGAAAGCGUGGGGAGCAAA
rnacentral:rRNA from 1 species